UUGAUCUGGCUCAGAACGAACGCUAGCGGCGCGUUUCAGGCAUGCAAGUCGCACGGUAACAGGGGAGCUUGCUCCCGCUGACGAGUGGCGCACGGGUGAGUAACGCGUAGGUAAGCUACCAUAAGGAUAGGAAUAGCCCUACGAAAGUAGGAUUAAUACCUAAUAUGCUGUAGUAUACAUAAGUAUGUUAUAGUAAAGGCUUCGGUCGUCUUAUGAUGUGCCUGCGUUAGAUUAGUUAGUUGGUAAGGUAACGGCUUACCAAGGCGACGAUCUAUAGCCGAGCUGAGAGGCUAAUCGGCCACAUUGGAACUGAAACACGGUCCAGACUCCUACGGGAGGCAGCAGCUAAGAAUCUUCCGCAAUAGUCGAGAGACUGACGGAGCGACGCCGCGUGAACGAUGAAGGCCUUAUAGGUUGUAAAGUUCUUUUAUAGGUGACGAAUAUUUGAUGUAGGUCAAGUUGACGGUAGCCUAUGAAUAAGGUCCGGCUAACUACGUGCCAGCAGCCGCGGUAAUACGUAGGGACCAAGCGUUGUUCGGAAUUAUUGGGCGUAAAGGGUACGUAGGCUGCCCGGUAAGUCAGAUGUGAAACCCUUGGGCUCAACCUGAGGCUUGCGUUUGAUACUGCUGGGCUAGAGUUACUGAGAGGAAGGCGGAGUUCCUGGUGUAGGGGUGAAAUCUAUAGAUAUCAGGAAGAACAUCUGUUGCGAAGGCGGCCUUCUGGCAGUUAACUGACGCUCAUGUACGAAAGUUAGGGUAGCAAACAGGAUUAGAGACCCUGGUAGUCCUAGCUGUAAACGUUGUAUACUAGGUGGUCGGAGUAUUGAUCCUCUGACUGCCGCAGCUAACGCAUUAGGUAUACCGCCUGGGGAGUAUGCCGUGCAACGGUGAAACUCAAAGGAAUUGACGGGGGCCCGAACAAGCAGUGGAGCAUGUAGGUUAAUUCGAUGAUACGCGAG
rnacentral:rRNA from 1 species